UGUCUAUUGUAAAAUGACACCACGCAACUCACACACCCCAGAUAAGCUCAUGUGAGUUGGAGGUAAUACCGGAGACAGAGCUGCGUUCAAUUUUAUAUCGCUAAGAAUUCACUGCACCGGAAAUGGCACACGUCUGGGAUGACUUCGAAAGCAUGCUAAAAUCUCCCUAUCCUCCGGCGGAUAGAGGGACUAUUAAACCCAAGGCUAACUUCAAUGUUAAUGAAGAUGUUGCUGCUCUGCGCAAAGCAAUUCAAGGCUUCGGUACAAAUGAGAAGACUUUAAUAGACAUACU